CCUACGGGAGGCAGCAGUGAGGAAUAUUGGUCAAUGGACGCAAGGCUGAACCAGCCAUGCCGCGUGCAGGAAGACGGCUCUAUGAGUUGUAAACUGCUUUUGUACGAGGGUAAACGCAGAUACGCGAAGCUGUCUGAAAGUAUCGUACGAAUAAGGAUCGGCUAACUCCGUGCCAGCAGCCGCGGUAAUACGGAGGAUUCAAGCGUUAUCCGGAUUUAUUGGGGUUAAAGGGUGCGUAGGCGGGCGGAUAAGUUAGAGGUGAAAUCCCGGGGCUCAACUUCGGAAUUGCCUCUGAUACUGUUCGGCUAGAGAGUAGUUGCGGUAGGCGGAAUGUAUGGUGUAGCGGUGAAAUGCUUAGAGAUCAUGCAGAACACCGAUUGCGAAGGCAGCUUACCAAGCUACUUCUGACGUUGAGGCACGAAAGCGUGGGGAGCAAACAGGAUUAGAUACCCCUGUAGUC
rnacentral:rRNA from 1 species